GAACCUGCAAAUGUGGAAAGGUGAAUCUUGACCUUUGUCUUAAGUCAGUACAAGUUAUCAUUUUCCUUCCAGUUUAGAAAAUAAUUCUCAUGGAGCCCAUAUUACUUGGUUGGAGGCAACAACCCUCAGGUUGUAGAGUCUCUAAAGAUAAUAUUAUAAUGUACCCUGGGGGCAAGGAUAGAUGUUUGUAAAUUCACUGUCAGAACUGGUAAGAACGUGGUUUGGUUGUGUUCUAUUUAGGAUGGAAGUUUAUUGAGUCUCCAAGCACUGGAAAACAAUACAAUAUAAUUAGCACGCAAGAAAUUCAAAUGUGUUUUUAUGAUUCAACAGAACCUCCAGAUCUGCUGGUUCCUUGGAAUUCUGUGUUUGUGCUGGGUCGACAGAACUGACAUCACUGGAGAGAUUGUUCAGACGUGGGUCUCAGGCCCUCCCGUCGCUGAGUCAGAGGCAGCGUGGGUAACAAGCCUCCUGAGUGAUUAGGAACGCAGUAAAGCUUAAGCAGCUCUGAAGCUAGCCCUGGCAGCACGUGCCUGCAAUCCCAGCACUCCAGAGGCUGAGGCAGGAAGAUUUCGAAUUUGAGGCUGACCUGGGCAAUUGAGCAAGACCCUGUCUCAAAAUCCCAACAACAAAAAGCUCUGUCCGUUCCCCAGAGUGUCAGCCUGAACAUGGUGACUGUGGUCCGAAGGCUGCACAAGCCCACCUGCUGUCAGCUCACUAGCAGAGAGUGUGAGUUCAUGAAUCCACACAAGCUGCCUCCUCCGGUAUGUCAGCCUACAACAUUGAUUCAACUGGGUUGGCUCCAAUGCAUACAAAUAGCUUCACUUACAAAGGACAAAGCCGCGUGAGUGAAAACUGCUGCUGGAACAACCACGAUGUUUGCAGCUGGAGCUCAGGGUCCCCCGGUACCACGCAGACAGGCCUCUCCGUGACGCCCCUCCACUCGGUUCCGCACCUUUCCGCCUCAGAGACCUUCCGCGACCUCUGCCGCCCCUGGAGCCGCGCCGAGGGCUGCCGAGCGAGCGUCCCUGCCGCGGACACUCGGCUCUCCUGGUCCAGUAAGGAGGCGCCCGGGCAGGGAGACCGUGGGCUCCGCCCUUCACUCACUGACACCCCCCCACCCCCGGAGCCGCCGUGACCCGCCCAGGCCCGCGAGCCUUCCGAGCCCACAGCGGGAUUCCCGGGAUUCCCGAC
rnacentral:lncRNA from 1 species